CAGUAGCCGCGGUAAUACGGAGGGUGCAAGCGUUAAUCGGAAUUACUGGGCGUAAAGCGCACGCAGGCGGUUUGUUAAGUCAGAUGUGAAAUCCCCGAGCUUAACUUGGGAACUGCAUUUGAAACUGGCAAGCUAGAGUCUUGUAGAGGGGGGUAGAAUUCCAGGUGUAGCGGUGAAAUGCGUAGAGAUCUGGAGGAAUACCGGUGGCGAAGGCGGCCCCCUGGACAAAGACUGACGCUCAGGUGCGAAAGCGUGGGGAGCAAACAGGAUUAGAGACCCGCGUAGUCCCUGUCUCUUAUAA
rnacentral:rRNA from 1 species